UACGUAGGGUCCGAGCGUUGUCCGGAAUUAUUGGGCGUAAAGAGCGUGUAGGCGGUUAGGUAGGUCCGUUGUGAAAACUCGAGGCUCAACCUCGAGACGCCGAUGGAAACCAUCUGACUAGAGUCCGGAAGAGGAGAGUGGAAUUCCUGGUGUAGCGGUGAAAUGCGCAGAUAUCAGGAAGAACACCCGUGGCUAAGGCGGCUCUCUAGUACGUGACUGACGCUGAGACGCGAAAGCGUGGGGAGCGAACAGG
rnacentral:rRNA from 1 species